UACGGGGGGAGCAAGCGUUGUUCGGAAUUACUGGGCGUAAAGCGUGCGCAGGCGGUUUUGUAAGCCAGAUGUGAAAUCCCCGGGCUUAACCUGGGAAUGGCAUUUGGGACUGCAAGGCUGGAGUGCGGCAGAGGAGACUGGAAUUCCUGGUGUAGCAGUGAAAUGCGUAGAUAUCAGGAGGAACACCGGUGGCGAAGGCGGGUCUCUGGGCCGUAACUGACGCUGAGGAGCGAAAGCAUGGGGAGCGAACAGG
rnacentral:rRNA from 1 species